rnacentral:rRNA from 1 species
CUUUUGUGGGGUGCUCGAGUGGCGAACGGGUGAGUAACACGUGAGUAACCUGCCCUUGACUUUGGGAUAACUUCAGGAAACUGGGGCCAAUACCGGAUAGGAGCUCCUGCUGCAUGGUGGGGGUUGGAAAGUUUCGGCGGUUGGGGAUGGACUCGCGGCUUAUCAGCUUGUUGGUGGGGUAGUGGCUUACCAAGGCUUUGACGGGUAGCCGGCCUGAGGGGGUGACCGGCCACAUUGGGACUGAGAUACGGCCCAG